GGUAACCCCCUUGGAUCCCCUUCCACACUGUGGGAGGUUUGUUCUUUUGCUCUUUGCAAUAAAGCUUGCUGCUGCUCACUCUUUGGGUCCAGACUGUCUUUAUGAGCUAUAACACUCACCGGGAAGGUCUGCAGCUUCACUCCUGAAGCCAAGGAGACCACGAACCCACCGGGAGGAAGGAACAACUACAGACACGCCGGCUUAAGAGCUGUAGCACUCACUGCGAAGGUCCGCAGCUUCACUCUUGAGCCAGAGACCACGAACCCACCAGAAGGAAGAAACUCCAAACACAUCCGAACAUCAGAAGGAAAAAACUCCAGACACGCCGCCUUUAAGAACUGCAACACUGCGAGGGUCCGCGGCUUCAUUCUUGAAGUCAGUGAGACCAAGAACCCACCAAUUCCAGACACACUACCAAAGGCAGAGGGGAGCUCCUAGACAAAGAUAUUUUGCUUACAAAUGGAACAUAUCAAAUCAAGCUUUUGUGAACUUGAGGGAAGAAACAAAGAAUAUGAAGCCUAAAUGGAAGUGUCAGGAAAUGGUCGCCUUGCGGACAAGGAAACAGCAGCCUGGAAGGCCAGGAGAGGGCAGACUACCCACCUAACCCUCUGCAGAAUUUUGUGUGGACCCUGGAGACCAGAAACUAACUUCUCCUGCAGAGACAAGGUCUUGCUCUGUCACCCUGGCUGGUCUUGAACUCCUGGCUUCAAGCAAUUCAUCCAUCUCAGCCUCCUGAGUAGCUGGGAUUACAGGCUGGAGUGUAGUGGUACGAUCUUGGCUUACUGCAACCUCCACCUCCUGGGUUCAAGCGGCCCUGUCAUCUCAGCCUCCUGAGUAGCUGGGGUUACAGAGCUCCUUUCUGACAACUUGCAAUUGAUCCAACAUUUGAAACCUUAUGCAGGAGCCGGACAGCUUGGUUUUGAAUUAUAAUCUUACAAAUUACUGGCUGUGUGUUAAAUCUUUAAAUUACUGGCUGUGUGACUUUGUGUAAGUACCUUCACUUCUCUGUGCCUUAGUUUAUGUUAUGUAAAAGGUAUGAUAAUAGUAUCUAUCUUGGAAUUUAGUUUUUAAAUAUAAAAUUUAUAUAUCUACAACAGCUGAAUAAGUGUUAUCUAUCUUUAUUACCAUUGCAAUUAUUAUUAUAAUUAUUUGUAUAUGUCGGGCUCAUAAAGCUCUUAGCUUUGCAAAACUGUCUGAGAAAGUUUGCUUUUCUUUGCAUUCAUUGGGAAAUUAACUUUUCUACACAAUAAUGUUUUUAAGGCAUGGACCUGUAAAAUGUUUAAUUGGUGUGGCUUCAAAGUAUAGAAAUUGUAAAGUAGGAAAUAAUUAUACACAACUAUCAAACCAAUAAUAAAGGUCAAUAAAUAUUCAAACAGUAUUAAUAUAA
ensembl:lncRNA LINC02506 long intergenic non-protein coding RNA 2506